rnacentral:rRNA from 1 species
CCUACGGGAGGCUGCAGUGGGGAAUAUUGGACAAUGGGCGAAAGCCUGAUCCAGCCAUGCCGCGUGUGUGAAGAAGGCCUUCGGGUUGUAAAGCACUUUCAGUGGGGAAGAAAGCCUUGGGGCUAAUACCCUCGAGGAAGGACAUCACCCACAGAAGAAGCACCGGCUAACUCCGUGCCAGCAGCCGCGGUAAUACGGAGGGUGCGAGCGUUAAUCGGAAUUACUGGGCGUAAAGCGCGCGUAGGCGGUCUGAUAAGCCGGUUGUGAAAGCCCCGGGCUCAACCUGGGAACGGCAUCCGGAACGGUCAGGCUAGAGUGCAGGAGAGGAAGGUAGAAUUCCCGGUGUAGCGGUGAAAUGCGUAGAGAUCGGGAGGAAUACCAGUGGCGAAGGCGGCCUUCUGGACUGACACUGACGCUGAGGUGCGAAAGCGUGGGUAGCAAACAGGAUUAGAUACCCGGUAGUC